UACAGAGGGGGCAAGCGUUGUUCGGAAUUACUGGGCGUAAAGGGCGCGUAGGUGGCCUUCUAAGUCGAACGUGAAAUCCCUGGGCUCAACCCAGGAACUGCGUCCGAGACUGGGAGGCUUGAAUCCGGGAGAGGGAUGCGGAAUUCCAGGUGGUAGCGGUGAAAUGCGUAGAUAUCUGGAGGAACACCGGUGGCGAAGGCGGCAUCCUGGACCAACACUGACGCUGAGUGAGCGAAAGCCAGGGGAGCAAACGGG
rnacentral:rRNA from 1 species